rfam:Dipodomys ordii contig_48148, whole genome shotgun sequence.
GGGAAGUUGGCUCAGUGGUAGAGUGCUUACCUCACAUGCAUGAGACCCUGGGUUCAAUUCCUCAGCACUAUUCA